rnacentral:rRNA from 1 species
GACGAACGCUGGCGGCGUGCCUAAUACAUGCAAGUUGAGCGCUGAAGGUUGGUACUUGUACCAACUGGAUGAGCAGCGCACGGGUGAGUAACGCGUGGGGAAUCUGCCUUUGAGCGGGGGACAACAUUUGGAAACGAAUGCUAAUACCGCAUAAAAACUUUAAACACAAGUUUUAAGUUUGAAAGAUGCAAUUGCAUCACUCAAAGAUGAUCCCGCGUUGUAUUAGCUAGUUGGUGAGGUAAAGGCUCACCAAGGCGAUGAUACAUAGCCGACCUGAGAGGGUGAUCGGCCACAUUGGGACUGAGACACGGCCCAAACUCCUACGGGAGGCAGCAGUAGGGAAUCUUCGGCAAUAGACGAAAGUCUGACCGAGCAACGCCGCGUGAGUGAAGAAGGUUGUCGGAUCGUAAAACUCUGUUGGUAGAGAAGAACGUUGGUGAGAGUGGAAAGCUCAUCAAGUGACGGUAACUACCCAGAAAGGGACGGCUAACUACGUG